rnacentral:rRNA from 1 species
UAGUCCACGCCGUAAACGAUGGACACUAGCUGUCGGGACUUCGGUCUCGGCGGCCAAGCGAAAGUGAUAAGUGUCCCACCUGGGGAGUACGUUCGCAAGAAUGAAACUCAAAGGAAUUGACGGGGCCCGCACAAGCGGUGGAGCAUGUGGUUUAAUUCGAUGAUACGCGAGGAACCUUACCAGGGCUUAAAUGCAGGCUGCAUGGGGCAGAGACGCCCCUUUCUUCGGACCGCCUGCAAGGUGCUGCAUGGUUGUCGUCAGCUCGUGCCGUGAGGUGUCAGGUUAAGUCCUAUAACGAGCGCAACCCCUGCCGUUAGUUGCCAGCAUGUAAAGAUGGGGACUCUAACGGGACUGCCGGUGCAAACCGUGAGGAAGGUGGGGACGACGUCAAAUCAUCACGGCCCUUACGUCCUGGGGCCACACACGUGCUACAAUGGGCCGGUACAGAGGGGAAGCCACCCCGCAAGGGGGAGCGGGAUCUACAAAACCGGUCACAGUUCGGAUCGGGGUCUGCAACUCG